UGGGGAAUUUUGGACAAUGGGCGAAAGCCUGAUCCAGCAAUGCCGCGUGUGUGAAGAAGGCCUUCGGGUUGUAAAGCACUUUUGUCCGGAAAGAAAUCCUUGGCUCUAAUACAGUCGGGGGAUGACGGUACCGGAAGAAUAAGCACCGGCUAACUACGUGCCAGCAGCCGCGGUAAUACGUAGGGUGCAAGCGUUAAUCGGAAUUACUGGGCGUAAAGCGUGCGCAGGCGGUUUGCUAAGACCGAUGUGAAAUCCCCGGGCUCAACCUGGGAACUGCAUUGGUGACUGGCAGGCUAGAGUAUGGCAGAGGGGGGUAGAAUUCCACGUGUAGCAGUGAAAUGCGUAGAGAUGUGGAGGAAUACCGAUGGCGAAGGCAGCCCCCUGGCCAAGUACUGACGCUCAUGCACGAAAGCGUGGGGGAGCAAAACAGGAUUUAGAUACCCCUGGUAGUCCACGCCCUAAACGAUGUCAACUAGUUGUUGGGGAUUCAUUUCCUUAGUAACGUAGCUAACGCGUGAAGUUGACCGCCUGGGGAGUACGGUCGCAAGAUUAAAACUCAAAUGAAUUGACGGGGUCAUA
rnacentral:rRNA from 1 species